CAACGCCAUUCAAGUCUCUCCCUUGCUUGUCUGUGACUCUGUGGAGAGUCAAGCGGGGAAGAAACCAAAGAUUUUCCCAUUUAGCUUCGAAAUUGGGUAAAUAAAAGAGAGCAACUUCGAAUUCGCCAAUUUUCCAACUUCUCUUCAUUUCAUGGCUAUUUAACUGGAAUUUAUCCUUCGAUUCUUGAUGCUUCAGGGGGAUCAUAUUCGAGUUAUUGAUGAAGGCAUCAACCUUUUCAGAGAAACCUGAGGGCUAUGGAAUAUAAUUUCGUGCAUCAUGGAAUAUUUGAUAGGCAUUGCUGAAACAUUAGUUCAGAUGUUUUUGGCAGUGUAUAGGACGCAGAUUUGUGUAUGCAGAAUAUGAGGAUUUUGUUCUUAGGUCUGCUUUUUUCCCAGUGCCUUUUUGAGGUGUAAUUGGUGAUAGGCUUGAAUUUGGUGGGCCUACCCUGCUGAGGUCAUGAAAAUUAUUUGUAGUAGGAUUUAGGGUUUAGAAGUCCCAUAUUUGGCUGAGGAAAUAGACACAAAUAUACUGGAUUCACUAUAGCAAUGGCUAGCGUAGCUCUUAGUCUUUUGCAUGAAGGGCCUUUAGAUAUCCAUGGAAGCUUUAUCAGACAGAAUGGUCCACGCUUAAAUGACCCAAUCUUGAUUUUGCUAUCUGUUGCGGGGUCUAUGAUUCCCAUGCGUAUUAUGGAGUCGGAUUCUAUUGCUUCUGUGAAGUUGAGGAUUCAGGCUUCCAAAGGUUUUUUUGAGAAGAAGCAAACAUUGGUUUUUGAAGGUAGGGAACUGGCACGGAACAAUUCUUGUGUGAAGGACUAUGGCAUUGCCAAUGGGAAUGUGUUGUAUUUGGUGCUCAGGCUUUCAGAUCUCCAAGCUAUAACAGUUCAGACUGUUUGUGGGAAAGAGUUUGAGUUUCAAGUUGAAAGGGGCAGAAAUGUAGGUUAUGUAAAGCAACAGAUUGCUAGGAAGGGGAAAGGGUUUGAUCUCAUUGACCAGGAAUUGAUAUUUGAUGGCGAGGAGCUAGAAGACCAAAGGCUUAUUAAUGAUAUCUGCAAGAAUAAUGAUGCUGCAAUUCACUUGCUCAUUCGAAAAUCUGCCAAAGUAAGGGCCAAACCUGUUGAGAAAGAUUUGGAAUUAUCUAUUGAAGCAUUAGAUUUGACUGAGAAGGGGGAUGGUGUAUUAGGAAAGCAUCAAAGCAGGGCAUUAUCUGUGGCACAUAGGGUUAUAGAGGGGAAACAGUUACUUAGAGGUUUCAUUUUGGAGCCUCUAAUUAUUAAUUCCAAAAUUGAACUGCCUCAAAUAAUCAAAGAGUUGAUCAAUUCUACAUUCAAUGGGUUAGAGGAGGGCAAUGAACCAAUUCGAUCAUUUGAGGGAUCUGGAGGAGCAUAUUUCAUGCAAGAUUCAUCUGGUCAGAAAUAUGUUUCUAUUUUUAAGCCAAUUGAUGAGGAGCCAAUGGCUGUGAAUAACCCUCAGGGGCUACCCUUGUCAGUGAAUGGUGAAGGUUUGAAGAAAGGCA
rnacentral:misc_RNA from 1 species